rnacentral:lncRNA from 1 species
GCGGUGCCCUGGCGGCGCUGCACCCAGCAGGAUCCCCUGUUCCUUUCCCUCUCUCUCUCCCAGACCUCCUACUCGGUCUCGCUCCUCAUGCUCGUUGUUUACGCGUACGAAUCGCACCGCGCCGUCCUCGGGGGGCGAGCCCGGCCCCCGGCAGCGCUGCAGGAUCGGAGCCACUGCCUGGAGAACGCCCGGCAGGGAAUUCCCUCCGUCCUGGCCUGGUAGGAGCCCCCGCGGGAUCGGCCCGGCCGCGGUCCCAGAGCCUCCCCCGGGGGUCCCGGGACUCAAACCCCUCCCUUCCCGAGGCUGCUGCCGGCGCUGACCCUCCUGGCCCAGCUGCUCGCCCGAGGCUCCGCCGCCACCGACAUCGCGCCCGUGGUGCCCCGGCCCGGCUCCAACGCCACCUUCAGCCUUUACUGCUCCAGCUGCCUCCUCCUGAUCCACCCCAACCGAGACAUCUGCUCCCAGGUGGGCGCUGCUCUCCCUGUGGGGCCGGGGNGGUCGGGGCCAGCCGGGGUCGCUCCGGGCUCCGUCCGCCGCCCAUGGCCAGCGCACAGGAGCGGCCCCCGGCCCUCUCGGAUAUCCAGGUAAAGGCGGAGCGGGAGAGGCUCCAGCUGAGCGCUGGAUUCCAGCAAACCCUGCCCGGGGUUUGGGGCAGCGCGCUGGGACCGGCCCAGGGUGGUCACGGCCACCACAAGGGGAGGUGACAGCCGGGCAGGGAUUCCUCCGACCCCGCUGUUCCCGCUGAGUCCCGGGCCCGGGACGCGGCUUCUCGGCCCUCCCCAGCCCCGGGAAAGGUGGGAGGAGAUCCCAGCGGGAAAACCCGGGAGGAAGAGACAGGGAAAGCCCAGCAGUGCAGCCACCGCCGAGGGGCUGCUGAGGAGCCGGCCCCGGCCCCGGCCCCGCCAUUCCCCCAGAGCGACGGGAACGCCGUGGCUGCGGUUCCCGGGAGAGUCCGGCCGUGCCCGGGGCGGGCUCGGGGCGGCCCCGCUCCCUCCGUGCCUCCCGCAGGUCCUGGCGCUGACGGGUGUCACCCUCCCGGCCGCGCUGCUCAGCCUCCUGGGCAGCGGAACUGUCCUCGCGGUCACCUCCUGGCAGGGGCGCUGCUGCCACAUCCCGGUGAGUGUCACCAGCCCCUGUCACAUCCCGGUGAGUGCCACCGGCUCCUGGCAGUGUCACCGCUGCCACAUCCCGGUGAGUGUCACCUGCACCUGUCACAUCCCGGUGAGUGUCACCAGCCCCUGGCAGUGUCACCGCUGUCACAUCCCGGUGAGUGUCACCAGCCCCUGGCAGUGUCACUGCUGUCACAUCCCGGUGAGUGUCACCAGCCGCUGUCACAUCCCGGUGAGUGUCCCCAGCCCCUGGCAGUGUCACCGCUGUCACAUCCCAGUGAGUGUCACCAGCCCCUGGCACAUCCUGGUGAGUGCCAUCGGUUCCUGGCAGUGUCACCGCUGUCACAUCCCGGUGAGUGCCACCAACCCCUGGCAGUGUCACCAGCCCCUGUCACAUCCCGGUGAGUGCCACCAGCCCCUGUCACAUCCCGGUGAGUGCCACCAGCCCCUGGCAAUGUCACCGCUGUCACAUCCCGGUGAGUGCCACCAACCCCUGGCAGUGUCACCAGCCCCUGUCACAUCCCGGUGAGUGUCACCAGCCCCUGGCACAUCCUGGUGAGUGCCAUCGGUUCCUGGCAGUGUCACCGCUGUCACAUCCCGGUGAGUGCCACCAGCCCCUGGCAAUGCUGCCGUGUCCAGGUGAGUGUCCCCGGCUCCCAGGGACACAGGGCUGGGUCUGGCCCCAGCUAAGCUCGAAUCAAAGCCGGGCCAAUACCGGCUUUAAGGCCCCGGAGGGGAGCGGGAGGUUCGGGAUGCCCAGCACCGGCACCCGGCCCGGUCCCCGGGAGCCGCCGGGCCCAG